rnacentral:rRNA from 1 species
GACGAACGCUGGCGGCGUGCUUAACACAUGCAAGUCGAGCGGUAAGGCCCCUUCGGGGGUACACGAGCGGCGAACGGGUGAGUAACACGUGCGCAAUCUGCCCAUCACAUCUGGAUAACUCCGGGAAACCGAAGCUAAUACCGAAUACGACCACCUCCGUCAUCGGAUGGUGUUGGAAAGUUCCGGCGGUUUUGGAUUAGCUCGCGGCCUAUCAGCUUGUUGGUGGGGUAACGGCCCACCAAGGCUUCGACGGGUAGCCGGCAUGAGAGGGUGAACGGCCACAAUGGGACUGAGACACGGCGCAGACUACUACGGGAGGCAGAAGUGGGGAAUAUUGGACAAUGGGAGAAAGCCUGAUACAGCAACGCAGCGAGAGGGAUGACGGCCUUCGGGUUGUAAACAAAUUUCAGCAGGGAGGAAGCGGAAGUGACGGUAACUGGAGAAGAAGCACCGGCCAACUACGUG